CUGCUGGGGAGGCAUGUUGGGUUGCACUGGCUGCAUGUGAAUCCCAGUCCGGUCCUUCGUGUGACGUCUGCACAGUGCAAGUGUCAGGACAUCCACACGUCUGGAUCGGCCGUUACCUUCUGCUCCCUCCCUGGUAACAGUGAGACAGCUCUUUCAAAAUGUCCAGAAUAAGAACCUGGUGGUCGACCUGAGCGGUGGUGUCAUCUCCUCAACGCAACUACUACACCCACUGGACCUGAUCAAGAUCCACUCUGCAGACUCAUCUUGCUCUUCAGUACGAUGAUGACGAUGACUCUUCAAGAUGACAAUCCAAAGACACGUUCCCUGCUCUGGCUGAAAUCUAUAGGCAGGAAGAAAUUCCCAAGGGGUUUGUACCAGGCCUGCUGGAGACGUCACACUGAGCCCUUCCGGUUAUGUCCUAAGAGGAACUGAAGAGACAUUAUAAUAAGAAUUACGUACAUCCACCCAGUGACCCAAAACUG